GGGCGGCCUCUCGUCUCACCUUCGAGAAGGCCGACUCGGCUGAGGGAAUGGGUGUCUCCUUGAGGAUAUCCCGCCGGAUGCUAUCGUAUUUUGCAUCCAACCCGGAGAGGAAUUGAUAAAGCCGCCGAUUCUCGUUUAAUUUUUUAUAUUUGUUGAUUCCCUCUUCACAGCAACUAAGAGGAUUAGGCUCUCUCCUGUCGAUGGUAAGCCAUAUGGUUUGCAACUCGUUCCAGUAAUUUUCUAAGGUAAGUUGUCCCUGAUUUACCUUGUUGGCU
rnacentral:lncRNA from 1 species